AACGCUAGCUACAGGCUUAACACAUGCAAGUCGAGGGGAAACGAUAGAGAAAGCUUGCUUUUUCUAGGCGUCGACCGGCGCACGGGUGAGUAACGCGUAUCCAACCUGCCCACCACUUGGGGAUAACCUUGCGAAAGUAAGACUAAUACCCAAUGACGUCUCUAGAAGACAUCUGAAAGAGAUUAAAGAUUUAUCGGUGAUGGAUGGGGAUGCGUCUGAUUAGCUUGUUGGCGGGGUAACGGCCCACCAAGGCGACGAUCAGUAGGGGUUCUGAGAGGAAGGUCCCCCACAUUGGAACUGAGACACGGUCCAAACUCCUACGGGAGGCAGCAGUGAGGAAUAUUGGUCAAUGGGCGAGAGCCUGAACCAGCCAAGUAGCGUGCAGGAUGACGGCCCUAUGGGUUGUAAACUGCUUUUAUAAGGGAAUAAAGUGAGUCUCGUGAGACUUUUUGCAUGUACCUUAUGAAUAAGGACUGGCUAAUUCCGUGCCAGCAGCCGCGGUAAUACGGAAGGUCCGGGCGUUAUCCGGAUUUAUUGGGUUUAAAGGGAGCGUAGGCCGGAGAUUAAGCGUGUUGUGAAAUGUAGACGCUCAACGUCUGCACUGCAGCGCGAACUGGUUUCCUUGAGUACGCACAAAGUGGGCGGAAUUCGUGGUGUAGCGGUGAAAUGCUUAGAUAUCACGAAGAACUCCGAUUG
rnacentral:rRNA from 1 species